rnacentral:rRNA from 1 species
GACAGAGGGUGCGAACGUUGGUCGGAAUUACUGGGCGUAAAGCGCGUGUAGGCUGUUCGGAAAGUCGGGUGUGAAAGCCUGGGCUCAACCUAGGAAGUGCACUCGAAACUCCCGAGCUGGAGUCCCGGAGAGGAAGGUGGAAUUCUCGGUGUAGAGGUGAAAUUCGUAGAUAUCGAGAGGAACACCGGUGGCGAAGGCGGCGAUCUGGACGAUGACUGACGCUGAGACGCGAAAGCGUGGGGAGCAAACAGG